GACGUAGGGCGCGAGCGUUGUCCGGAUUUAUUGGGCGUAAAGGGCGCGUAGGCGGUUUGGACAGUCAGAUGUGAAAUUCCUGGGCUCAACCUGGGGGCUGCAUUUGAUACGUUCGGACUAGAGUGGGGAAGAGGGUCGGUGGAAUUCCCAGUGUAGAGGUGAAAUGCGCAGAUAUCAGGAGGAACACCGGUGGCGAAGGCGGGUCUCUGGGCCGAUACUGACGCUGAGGAGCGAAAGCGUGGGGAGCGAACAGG
rnacentral:rRNA from 1 species